UUGAAAUGACUCAGUCCAGGAAAGGAGAGGAGACAAACUCACCGUGGGACGGCGCUUUCGUUCUUAAACUCUACAGACGGUAAGACAAGUCACACUGAACAAGUGAUGUCGCAAAUACUGUUGAGGUGGGAGGAGCUUCUAGUUCUCCGGACGUCUCACCUUACUCCUGGACCACGAGUCCCUCUCAGGUCUGUGGGCCGCUGGCGAGGAGGUUCCGGACCAUUCUGAAGAUAGUCCCAGUCGGUCCAGGUUGACAUACGGGGUCACAGACUCCUGCUGAGGUUGGUCUGGAAAAACCCAUUAGUUUCUAUGGAGAUGAUGAUGAUGAAGAUGAUAGGUCACCUGGAUCCACUGCCAGGACAAAAGACUCGGGGGUUCUCUCGGGGAGUGGGGGCACAGGUGAAGGUGGACCACCUGGAGGGAAGGUUGGUCUAUGAGGGUCAGUGACACACCUCUGUGGGCGAAGUUUAGUUACCCGCAGUGACUUCACCGGGUGGAACGAUGAGUGACAGCGGCCCUGGCGCAGCAUCACCUGCAGGAAGAGCAUGGAUCAACCAUGUGGUGUCAGCACGUCAGUCAUCACAGAGCCGGCUCCUGAUUGGUCAGUGCCGGUGUAUGGAGGGAUAUUUUUGCCAUCGAGAUUUGAAUUAAAAAAAAAAAACAAAUUGAAUUUGAAAAAAAAAAUCUAAAUUAAAAAAAUUCAUUCUGAAAAAUUAUGUUUUGAUGCCCCGUUAUUAAGGUUUGAAUACAAAAAAGGAUUUACAUAGUAUUUCAAAGUUUUAUAUUUCAAACUUGAAUCAAAGCAUUAAUGUUUUUAAAUACAAUGUAAUUAUUUUUUGUAUUCAAAACAGGGCAUCAAAACAUAAUAUUUCGGAAUGAAAUUUUUUUUUUUUCAUUUGUAUUCAAGUAUGUAUGGCAGAGAUAUCCCUCCAUACCGGUGCAGGUGUCAGGUGUGUGAAGUGUGAGCGUCAGACCUUCAGGAGCAGCCAGGAGGUACGACUCUGGGGUUCUCUCAGGGAGAGGAGGAGGGUCAUCUUCAUCACCUGAAACUGAGCAGCAGCUCCAUCAGAGCCGGAGGGUGCUGCUGACACCAGGGACUCACCUGUGCUGGAGGAGCAGUGCUGCUCCGUCUGCUCCUCCAGGUGAAUCAGAGGAACCUCACCCUCCCACCGUCCCACCUCCUCAAAGGCUUCAAAGUACGGAUCCUCCACAGUGAGGCCCGAAGCUUCUGCUUCCAGAUGGGAGUGUGUCGCGUGCUGCUGCUGCCAUUCUGGGGACGCGAUGACGUCAUCACCAUCUGAAGAGGAAGAGAGGUGCUGUUGGGGAGCGUCCUCCUCGUCCUCCCGCAGAUCAUCCAUCCACUCAGGGGGUCCAUGCUUCGCCUGGAGCACUGGUGGUGCCGGGAACCUGGUGAAGAGCAAGCGAAUGGCUCCGUACACCAGCUUGUACUGCUCCUGUGAGAACAGACGUCAGUGUGGCCCGUCCCCGUUCAGAACCUCUCCCGUGGCUCUACCUUGGUCUGGACCAGCGACUGCCGCUGAGUUCUCAUUUGAUGGACCAGGUUGUAGAUGUUGAAGUCUGAAGGAAUCAUCUGCAAACAAAGGUCAUGAUGAUGUGUCGUGGCUCUCUCACCCAGCAGGGUCCAGGUGAAGUCAAUGGCACACAGAACCCCGGUCCGUCCACACCCAGCACUGCAGUCACAACAGCAGGAUGCUGCUUUAGAUGGCACAUGAAGGACAGUCUAGGUCCAAGACCGGUCCAGGUCCAACUGGCCGGACCCUUUAGGAGUACUCACCUGCAGUGGAUGCAGAUGGGAACGUCGUCGUGAGGCUGGUAGAAGCGCAUCUCCGCUAACAUCUCCAGAAUAGGGGGAAUAGAGUCGGGAAUGCCGUGGUCCGGCCAGUGGACGUAGUGCAGCUGCUUCAGCGUCCGGCUGCACUGCAGCACACACACACGCCAUGAGCCAGGUGUCGGCCCGGCGCCACCACCAGGCCGUCACUUACACUGUUGAAGGUCACCUCCAGCGUUCGGGUCAGGUAGUCGCCUUUGUGUUCCUCGCUUUCCUGGCCAGACAAGUGCAGAUGUUCCACUCAGUCCAAGGCUGUGCUGCAUGAGAGCAGGCCAAAGACUCACGCAGCAGACGCUGAAGGCCUGGCAGACAAAGGGCGGCUCCUCCGGCAGUGGCCAGUAGCGCUCACACUUCUUCUGCAGGGACAGUGUCAGAGUCAGACCACUGUGCUCUGCGUCCCCCUUGUGUUCAGGUCCCUACUCUGACCCAAGUGGAGGGCCACACCACACACACACUGCUGUCUGAAGGGGAAGCACCAGAGGGAAGCUCGACAGGAAGUCAAACAGACUUGGUGGGGAACGUUUUGUCGGCCCGAUACUUGGUGGACUGAUUCUUCAGCCUCUGAAACCAGCAAACAUGGCAGAAGCUGAGUGAUGCGGGAGCGUUGGUGUUGUCUGCUCAGAAGCAAGACAGCGGUGGUCACCAGACCUGCCUCCACUGCCGAUGAUGUCAUAAAUCCCCUUGGUGUCUGAACGUACUGGCUUCAUCUGGGCUCCUCGGAGAGGAAGUCUGAGUGGCUGUUGAGGCCGGCGAUGCAGCGGCACCGGCCUGGACGGGGUCGACUGGGGUCACGCCCCUAUGUCCUUGGAUCCUGACCCGCAUGUGACCUUCCUGGUGGCCUCGUCACACCUUGUUCUUUCUAAAUCUUGACUCCACUUCUGGUAAGUUGCCCGCAACUCCUGCUCCACUUCUACUCACCAGAAACUCUCCGGAGAUGCUGCUGGCCUCGUCCUCCGCUUCCUGCCGCUCCAGCUGCUCCAGCAGGCUCCUCAGCGUCCAGGCCUGGAGCUCCAUGCAGGCGCGAUCCUCCGAGGACAUGUCAGGGCUGGAGUGUCUCCAUGAAGUCACCGGAUCAGGCGCUGCGAGUGUCAGUUGUGCUGCUGUGCCUCAUCACCGCAUUCAGGAACUCAGCAGAGAGGAACUGUGACAGAGGAGGAAGUGAGCAGCUCUGUGGUCACAUUAAAGCAAGAAACACCCCCCACAGCCUGUCACCAGCCGGGUCCUGAGUUCCACAGCGACUCACACGCUCCACUUCCACCAGCCCUCGGACGGCAUCCAGCUGAGCAGGAGUGGAGCCUCGCAGGAUCUCACAUCCAUCAUACAUCUGGAGCCAAGGCCGCUCAAGUGUGUGAACGCCUGCGACAUCUAGUGGCCAGACAGUCAAGCUCGACGCUAGCGGCCUGUCACACACCUGGAGGAAGUUGUGUGCACAACAUUGGUGUUAUCACACGUACGUGCCUCUAUACCGGAAACUGUUUGACAUUCUGAUGAGAGUCAAGUCCGUACAGGACAAUAAAUGUUCCUCAUUCUGCUGCCAGUUGUCGUUGAAGUCAACGUCUUCUAAGUGAAGGGAGGGAAGGGAAGAACUUCUCCAGCAGUCUGGGCCUCCAGAAGUCUGGACUUUAGUCACCACUUCUUGCCUUGGCCACGUCGACCCUUCAGAGACGAGGUGCUCCAGUGAUCUCAGUCACACCUUCAGUCUCCGUCUACUGUCCUGUAAAAUGUGCUUCUGAGUGAAGUCUCCACGGACCCUCACCUGACCUCUGACCUCGAGGGUCACAGACACUGCCUCACACUUCAUUCGAGUCGACAAACUCCUGACUCAUUUUCGUCCUGUCGAUCAGCGGGCGGAAAAAAAAGCUAUAAGAAGCUCCGAGAAUCUGUGACCGCGACUCGAUGAAAAAACAUUUCCUGUAUCAACGUGUUGCCACAGAGCACAGGACAGUGUGUUUGAUGUGGAGUCUGCUCAUGAUAUACGGUGUUUACCUGUUGAAUUACGCUGCUGUUUGCUGAUCCAACGUUUAAAUGUUACAUGUCGAACCUUCUAUUUCCCCGGUGGACAAAACGUUUUCAUGAUUCAGUUUUAACUACAAUGCGAGCUGCUCAUUCCUGCCCACACUGUGAUUAUAUACCCAGUAAUACUGCGCUAUUUGUCUGGCUCAAACUAUGCAAUUACAUCUUUGAAACAGCAGGGGACAGUAGCGUAA